rnacentral:rRNA from 1 species
CGGCUUAACACAUGCAAGUCGAGGGGCAGCAUCUCUUUUUGCUUGCAAACUGGAGAUGGCGACCGGCGCACGGGUGAGUAACACGUAUCCAACCUGCCGAUAACUCGGGGAUAGCCUUUCGAAAGAAAGAUUAAUACCCGAUGGUAUAAUCAGACCGCAUGGUCUUGUUAUUAAAGAAUUUCGGUUAUCGAUGGGGAUGCGUUCCAUUAGGCAGUUGGUGAGGUAACGGCUCACCAAACCUUCGAUGGAUAGGGGUUCUGAGAGGAAGGUCCCCCACAUUGGAACUGAGACACGGUCCAAACUCCUACGGGAGGCAGCAGUGAGGAAUAUUGGUCAAUGGGCGCAGGCCUGAACCAGCCAAGUAGCGUGAAGGAUGACUGCCCUAUGGGUUGUAAACUUCUUUUAUAUGGGAAUAAAGUUUUCCACGUGUGGAAUUUUGUAUGUACCAUAUGAAUAAGGAUCGGCUAACUCCGUGCCAGCAGCCGCGGUAAUACGGAGGAUCCGAGCGUUAUCCGGAUUUAUUGGGUUUAAAGGGAGCGUAGGUGGACAGUUAAGUCAGUUGUGAAAGUUUGCGGCUCAACCGUAAAAUUGCAGUUGAUACUGGCUGUCUUGAGUACAGUAGAGGUGGGCGGAAUUCGUGGUGUAGCGGUGAAAUGCUUAGAUAUCACGAAGAACUCCGAUUGCGAAGGCAGCUCACUGGACUGCAACUGACACUGAUGCUCGAAAGUGUGGGUAUCAAACAGGAUUAGAUACCCUGGUAGUCCACACAGUAAACGAUGAAUACUCGCUGUUUGCGAUAUACAGUAAGCGGCCAAGCGAAAGCAUUAAGUAUUCCACCUGGGGAGUACGCCGGCAACGGUGAAACUCAAAGGAAUUGACGGGGGCCCGCACAAGCGGAGGAACAUGUGGUUUAAUUCGAUGAUACGCGAGGAACCUUACCCGGGCUUAAAUUGCAUUUGAAUAAUCUGGAAACAGGUUAGCCGCAAGGCAAAUGUGAAGGUGCUGCAUGGUUGUCGUCAGCUCGUGCCGUGAGGUGUCGGCUUAAGUGCCAUAACGAGCGCAACCCUUAUCUUUAGUUACUAACAGGUCAUGCUGAGGACUCUAGAGAGACUGCCGUCGUAAGAUGUGAGGAAGGUGGGGAUGACGUCAAAUCAGCACGGCCCUUACGUCCGGGGCUACACACGUGUUACAAUGGGGGGUACAGAAGGCAGCUACCUGGUGACAGGAUGCUAAUCCCAAAAGCCUCUCUCAGUUCGGAUCGAAGUCUGCAACCCGACUUCGUGAAGCUGGAUUCGCUAGUAAUCGCGCAUCAGCCAUGGCGCGGUGAAUACGUUCCCGGGCCUUGUACACACCGCCCGUCAAGCCAUGAAAGCCGGGGGUACCUGAAGUACGUAACAGGGAGGAGCGCCCUAGGGUAAAACUGGUGACU